rnacentral:rRNA from 1 species
CCUACGGGGGGCAGCAGUGGGGGAUAUUGGACAAUGGGCGGAACCCUGAUCCAGCGACGCCGCGUGAAGGAAGAAGGAUCUCGGUAUGUAAAGCUCUAUUAGCAGGGAAGAAGAAAUGACGGUACCUGUGUAAGAAGCACCGGCUAACUACGUGCCAGCAGCCGCGGUAAUACGUAGGGGGCAAGCGUUAUCCGGAAUUACUGGGUGUAAAGGGAGCGUAGGCGGUGAGGUAAGUCUGGUGUGAAAGUCAGGGGCCCAACCCCCGAACUGCUCUGGAAACUGUUUGGCUGGAGGGUAGGAGAGGUGAGCGGAAUGCCUGGUGUAGCGGUGAAAUGCGUAGAUAUUAGGAGGAACACCAGUGGCGAAGGCGGAUUACUGGACUGUAACUGACGUUGAGGCGCGAAAGCGUGGGGAGCAAACAGGAUUAGAUACCCUAGUAGUC